CUUUGGCCUCCAGCUUGCCCUGUGCUCCGUUUGUACACACUGCAAAGGAUGCUGGGUGAUUCACCUUCAGACCAGACUCCUACCAAGGUCGGACACACACAGUGUGCAGGGAUGGACAGAUGAACAGGGAAGACAUUAAGAGCCCUUUAGCAAGGCAGGGCAGGCUGGGUGUGGAGGUGUCUCCUCAUGCCUCACCUGAAGGCCGGCAACAGUGAGGCGGCGUGCAUCGUUCGCUGGAGCAACAACAGGAACAAGGCUCCUGAGCAAUGUAAGAGACACCGCAAGAGCCGUCUUUGCGGUCCUCGAAGGAGAUCUCCGCCCUGCUGGGUCCCUCCAUGGCGAUCGAGAGACCACCGGCCCCCGCCUCCCUUGUCCAGAUACUGAAGUCAGCUGAGAAAGAGAGGGCUACAACGCACCCUCCACCCUGGCACCACCCUCCGGGCAGCAGGCAUCAACGACCCAAACACCCCUCACUGCCCUCGUCCCCCUUGCCAGCACCAGACCAGAGAGGCCAGAGAUGAGGCGCACGUGCCCAGGGAAGAAGCUCUGAUCCUGCGCAACGGCAGCGGAACGAGUUCUGCAACCACUGGAUCUUCCAGACCACCAGAGGGAGCAGUAGGAGCGGGAGGAGGUGGGAGAAAGGAGAUGCCGAGAUAACGCCAGAAGGAACCAGCUCACUGGAGGAAGAGAAGGGAACGAGGACAAAGAGGUGGAAGAAGAAGAAGAGAGGAACAAUUGGUGACAGGGACAGAAGACAAAGGAGGAGAAGAUAAGAAGAAACUGAAGAGGAAAAGAGAGAAGAGGAGAAAGUGGAUUUGGACAAAACAAGAAAAAGACAUACAAACGAGGAAAGAUUAGGGCAGAAAAGAAGACAAACUGACAGACGAAGGAGAGAUGAAGAAAUGUCAAAAUAGAUUUUUUUUAAAAGGAGGCAGGGUGACAAAGGGAAAGACGGAAGAAGAGGGAAAGAGACAGGAAAAGAAGAGAUUAAGAAAGGACAAGACAAAGCUAACAGACAACAGUCAUUACAAAGCAGCAGAAAGAAACGAGACAGAAACUAGAGAAAUGUCAUAACUUCAGACAUGAAACAGUUUUAGAAAAGGAGGAGCUGCUCUGGUGUUGCAGGACGUGUUCAGUCCGAGCAUGUCUCCAGAUUUCAGCUGGGCAGAACGCUGACAGUCUGUGACACAUCGAGACUUAACAAGUUUAAGACCCGCUCAUUUGUACCUUUUAUUGACCAAUAAAACAACCAAACACCCAAUGUCUACAUGUGAGGGAUACUAACAAGACGAAAUCUACUGCGCCUGCCAUCAAGGUGGUCCAAUCAUGAGCCUUCAGACUAGUGAGGAGAGAAAGCGUGUGUGUGUGUGUGUGUGUGUGUGUGUGUGUGUGUGUGUGCGAACUGUAUUGUACCUGGUAU